rnacentral:misc_RNA from 1 species
CGUCGGCUGGGCGGCCUCCGGG